GUACACAAUUCAUUGACCUGCUUUCUUGUGUAUGUGAGCAGUGUUAUUUCCUACAUGCUACACAAAUAGGUGAAGGUUAAUUAGCAGUAUAAUUAUAAACAGUAACGCUGCCAGCCUCCUUCAGACAAAA
rnacentral:snoRNA from 1 species